rnacentral:rRNA from 1 species
UACGUAGGGGGCAAGCGUUGUCCGGAAUCAUUGGGCGUAAAGAGCGCGUAGGCGGUCCGGUAAGUCCGCUGUGAAAGUCAAGGGCUCAACCCUUGAAUGCCGGUGGAUACUGUCGGGCUAGAGUCCGGAAGAGGAGAGUGGAAUUCCUGGUGUAGCGGUGAAAUGCGCAGAUAUCAGGAAGAACACCCGUGGCUAAGGCGGCUCUCUAGUACGGUACUGACGCUGAGACGCGAAAGCGUGGGGAGCGAACAGG